GGUUCUUUAACUGGCUACCAGCAUCUAUCGUCUGGGGAAUAGCCUCCCUCAGCCCACCAGGUGAGUAGGUAAACACAAGACUUAACAAGGAAAUAUCUUUCAAAACAAACAGGGUUUAUUUAGGGAACUCAACAAUACCAGGGAAUGCAAGGGGGAAAGGAAAACAAAAGCAGUAAAUAACUCAGUGGUUUGCCCCAACAGUGGGCCUGAAGCCUGGUCUCCAAACGACCCUUGGCAAUAACCAAAAGUUUGUACUUGCAGGUCCACAAUGAACCAAGGUCCCAACGGAUCCACUGGAUAAUGAUGGACGCACACAGCAACUGAUGGACGUAAGCAGUCAUCUGCAGCUGGGCUAGGUGGGUCCUGGACCUACCACUGCCUCCAGCGGUUGCCAGGGACAGGUGGAGCACAGGACCUUCAGCAGAUCAGAAGCACAGGAACAAAUGCCAUCCACUUAAAUCUGAGCUGAGAAAGAAGAAAAUUAAUCAACUCAAAUCAGACCUAUCUGCCCAGCAAUCUGUUUUCACUAGACAAGUGGUAAAGUCUAGAAGUGCUACUGCUGCUUCCUUUAAAAUUUCUCAUCUGCUCGCAAAGAAGAAAAAACCCUUUCAAGAUGGUGAAGUGUUGAAGGAAGCAUUUUUGACUGGUGCUGAUUGCCUGUUUCAAGGAUUUCCUAUCAAGGGUGAAUUUUUGUCGGCAAUACAAGACUUGCAGUUAUCAGACAACACAGUUCCGAGGAGGAUACAUGCAAUUUCAAGUGACAUGCAAACUCAGCUAAAGGAUGACUUGGAAAUAUGUGACUGGUUUUCACUGCAAUUCGAUGAAUCGACAGAUAUAUCGGAUACAGCGCAGUUGGCAGUUAUGGUGAGGAUGGUAUUUAGUGACUUCACCAUUAAAAGAAGAGUUACUAGAAGUAUUGCCUAUGAAAGGGCGAACAAAGGGUGAGGACAUCUAUAAUUUAUUCAAAUCAUAUGCAACAUUACUAUGCCACUACACAAGCUGUCUGCGAUCACCACUGAUGGGGCACCAGCAAUGAUGGCCAGUGCCAGUGGAUUCAUUGCACUCUGUAAGAAGAAUGAAUCCUUUCCGAACUUUAUGUCUUAUUGCAUUAUCCACCAAGAAGCUUUGUGCAUCGAAGUUCUGUCUUUUCAACACGUCAUGAAUGUCGUUAUUAAAAUAAUUAACUCUAUUCGAGCUAAACCUUUGCAACACCAACGUUUUAAGGCCCUGUUGGAAGAUGUUGAUGAUAAACAAUCUGAUCUUAUCUUGCACACAGAAGUAUGAUAGCUGAGCAAAGGUAAAGUUCUUGCACGUUUUUUAAGCCUAAUUGAAGAGAUCAAAGAACUUCUGAAGUCCACAAAUCAGAACUUCGAGCAACUGGAAGACUCCAGUGAUGUCGGCAAGAAAAGCCAAGUCCAUUAACCAGCUGACAAAUUGAACAUUUUAAAUCUUGAGCUCCAGGGAAAAGACAAACAUGUGGCUCAAAUGAUAGGUUCUGUAAAAUCAUU
rnacentral:lncRNA from 1 species